GAAGUUAGCGGCGGACGGGUGAGUAACACGUGGGCAACCUGCCUGUAAGACUGGGAUAACUUCGGGAAACCGGAGCUAAUACCGGAUAACUUCUUUCCUCGCAUGAGGAAAGGUUAAAAGACGGUUAUGCUGUCACUUACAGAUGGGCCCGCGGCGCAUUAGCUAGUUGGUGAGGUAACGGCUCACCAAGGCGACGAUGCGUAGCCGACCUGAGAGGGUGAUCGGCCACACUGGGACUGAGACACGGCCCAGACUCCUACGGGAGGCAGCAGUAGGGAAUCUUCCGCAAUGGACGAAAGUCUGACGGAGCAACGCCGCGUGAGUGAAGAAGGUCUUCGGAUCGUAAAACUCUGUUAUCAGGGAAGAAUAAGUACCGUGUAACUAACGGUACCUUGACGGUACCUGACCAGAAAGCCACGGCUAACUACGUGCCAGCAGCCGCGGUAAUACGUAGGUGGCAAGCGUUGUCCGGAAUUAUUGGGCGUAAAGCGCGCGCAGGCGGUUUCUUAAGUCUGAUGUGAAAUCUCGCGGCUCAACCGUGAGCGGUCAUUGGAAACUGGGAAACUUGAGUGCAGAAGAGAAGAGCGGAAUUCCACGUGUAGCGGUGAAAUGCGUAGAGAUGUGGAGGAACACCAGUGGCGAAGGCGGCUCUUUGGUCUGUAACUGACGCUGAGGCGCGAAAGCGUGGGGAGCGAACAGGAUUAGAUACCCUGGUAGUCCACGCCGUAAACGAU
rnacentral:rRNA from 1 species